rfam:Ictidomys tridecemlineatus contig099522, whole genome shotgun sequence.
GGGGAUGUGGCUCAAGUGGUAGAGCGCUCGCCUGACAUGCAUGUGGCCUGGGUUCGAUCCUCAGCACCA